AAGUGUAGUAUCUGUUCUUAUCAGUU
rnacentral:piRNA from 5 species